rnacentral:rRNA from 1 species
AGAGUUUGAUCCUGGCUCAGAAUGAACGCUGGCGGCGUGCUUAACACAUGCAAGUCGAGCGAGAAAGUUCCUUCGGGAGCGAGUACAGCGGCGAACGGGUUAGUAACGCGUGAGAAUCUACCCUCUAGUGAGGAAUACCUCCGAGAAAUCGGAGAUAAUACCGCAUGUGUCCUUUAAUAGAGAUAUUUUAGGAUAAAGGU